rnacentral:rRNA from 1 species
AUGGUUUCCCUGCUGAUGCCGCUGCUGGGCAGAUUGGGCGCCAAGGCUGUCGAAGCGCUGGUGGUGGAGCUUUUGCGGGCGUGGGGGCUGGACAAGGCCCGCCGGAGGCUGGAGCGCCACCUCUCUGCCAUCCAAUGCGUCCUGCUGGGCGCCGAGGCCAAGAGCCACACAAACCCCGCUGUCCGCCGGUGGAUGACAGACCUGAAGACCGCCGCCUACCAAGCCGACGACGUCCUUGAUGACUUCCGCUAUGAGGCGCUGCGCCGCCGUGCUGCCCAGAUCCGCCCCCACUCCAUGGCGCACAAGGUGAUUAGCUACUUCACCGCUAAUAGCCCGGUUGUUUUCCAUCUCUCCAUGAGCCGGAAGAUGAAGGGUGCACUUGAAAUCAUAGAUCAACUGGUUGUGGAGAUGAACAAUUUCCACUUCCCGCAGCAUGCCGAGGCACCGCACGCCGACCAUCCGCAAACACACUCUUGUGUUGAUGAAUCAGAGAUUAUCGGUAGACAGGAUGACAAGGAACUAGUGGUGAAAACGUUGCUCGAGCAGUCCAACAACAACAGUAACAAUAACAAUGUCGUGGUACUCCCUAUAGUUGGUAUGGGGGGAAUUGGUAAGACUACACUUGCCCAGCUUGUGCACAAUGAUCAGAGGGUGAACCAUCAUUUUGAGUUGGUCAUAUGGGUUUGUGUCUCGGAUAAGUUUGUUAUCGAAGAAAUUAUACGGUCUAUAGUACAAGUGGCCACAAUGAAUAAGUGCGGUGCCUCGGCGUGCGGAAUCAAGACCUAA